rnacentral:rRNA from 1 species
GAUGAACGCUGGCGGCGUGCUUAACACAUGCAAGUCGAGCGAGAAGUUUUGAAAAGAUUCUUCGGAUGCAAUUUAAAAUGGAAAGCGGCGGACGGGUGAGUAACGCGUAGGCAACCUGCCCCAUACAAAGGGAUAGCAUUUGGAAACGAAUAUUAAUACCUUAUGAAACUUAACUAGUGCAUGCUAGGUAGGUCAAAGAUUUAUCGGUAUGGGAUGGGCCUGCGUCUGAUUAGCUAGUUGGUGAGGUAACGGCUCACCAAGGCGACGAUCAGUAGCCGACCUGAGAGGGUGAACGGCCACAUUGGAACUGAGACACGGUCCAAACUCCUACGGGAGGCAGCAGUGGGGAAUAUUGCACAAUGGGGGAAACCCUGAUGCAGCAACGCCGCGUGAACGAUGAAGGCCUUUGGGUCGUAAAGUUCUGUUCUAGGUGAUGAAAACUGACAGUAACCUAGGAGAAAGCCCCGGCUAACUCCGUG